UUAAGCGACUAAGCGUACACGGUGGAUGCCCUGGCAGUCAGAGGCGAUGAAGGACGUGCUAAUCUGCGAUAAGCGUCGGUAAGGUGAUAUGAACCGUUAUAACCGGCGAUUUCCGAAUGGGGAAACCCAGUGUGAUUCGUCACACUAUCAUUAACUGAAUCCAUAGGUUAAUGAGGCGAACCGGGGGAACUGAAACAUCUAAGUACCCCGAGGAAAAGAAAUCAACCGAGAUUCCCCCAGUAGCGGCGAGCGAACGGGGAGCAGCCCAGAGCCUGAAUCAGUGUGUGUGUUAGUGGAAGCGUCUGGAAAGGCGCGCGAUACAGGGUGACAGCCCCGUACACAAAAAUGCACAUACUGUGAGCUCGAUGAGUAGGGCGGGACACGUGGUAUCCUGUCUGAAUAUGGGGGGACCAUCCUCCAAGGCUAAAUACUCCUGACUGACCGAUAGUGAACCAGUACCGUGAGGGAAAGGCGAAAAGAACCCCGGCGAGGGGAGUGAAAAAGAACCUGAAACCGUGUACGUACAAGCAGUGGGAGCCUCUUUAUGGGGUGACUGCGUACCUUUUGUAUAAUGGGUCAGCGACUUAUAUUCUGUAGCAAGGUUAACCGAAUAGGGGAGCCGAAGGGAAACCGAGUCUUAACUGGGCGUUAAGUUGCAGGGUAUAGACCCGAAACCCGGUGAUCUAGCCAUGGGCAGGUUGAAGGUUGGGUAACACUAACUGGAGGACCGAACCGACUAAUGUUGAAAAAUUAGCGGAUGACUUGUGGCUGGGGGUGAAAGGCCAAUCAAACCGGGAGAUAGCUGGUUCUCCCCGAAAGCUAUUUAGGUAGCGCCUCGUGAAUUCAUCUCCGGGGGUAGAGCACUGUUUCGGCAAGGGGGUCAUCCCGACUUACCAACCCGAUGCAAACUGCGAAUACCGGAGAAUGUUAUCACGGGAGACACACGGCGGGUGCUAACGUCCGUCGUGAAGAGGGAAACAACCCAGACCGCCAGCUAAGGUCCCAAAGUCAUGGUUAAGUGGGAAACGAUGUGGGAAGGCCCAGACAGCCAGGAUGUUGGCUUAGAAGCAGCCAUCAUUUAAAGAAAGCGUAAUAGCUCACUGGUCGAGUCGGCCUGCGCGGAAGAUGUAACGGGGCUAAACCAUGCACCGAAGCUGCGGCAGCGACACUAUGUGUUGUUGGGUAGGGGAGCGUUCUGUAAGCCUGUGAAGGUGUACUGUGAGGUAUGCUGGAGGUAUCAGAAGUGCGAAUGCUGACAUAAGUAACGAUAAAGCGGGUGAAAAGCCCGCUCGCCGGAAGACCAAGGGUUCCUGUCCAACGUUAAUCGGGGCAGGGUGAGUCGACCCCUAAGGCGAGGCCGAAAGGCGUAGUCGAUGGGAAACAGGUUAAUAUUCCUGUACUUGGUGUUACUGCGAAGGGGGGACGGAGAAGGCUAUGUUGGCCGGGCGACGGUUGUCCCGGUUUAAGCGUGUAGGCUGGUUUUCCAGGCAAAUCCGGAAAAUCAAGGCUGAGGCGUGAUGACGAGGCACUACGGUGCUGAAGCAACAAAUGCCCUGCUUCCAGGAAAAGCCUCUAAGCAUCAGGUAACAUCAAAUCGUACCCCAAACCGACACAGGUGGUCAGGUAGAGAAUACCAAGGCGCUUGAGAGAACUCGGGUGAAGGAACUAGGCAAAAUGGUGCCGUAACUUCGGGAGAAGGCACGCUGAUAUGUAGGUGAAGUCCCUCGCGGAUGGAGCUGAAAUCAGUCGAAGAUACCAGCUGGCUGCAACUGUUUAUUAAAAACACAGCACUGUGCAAACACGAAAGUGGACGUAUACGGUGUGACGCCUGCCCGGUGCCGGAAGGUUAAUUGAUGGGGUUAGCGGUAACGCGAAGCUCUUGAUCGAAGCCCCGGUAAACGGCGGCCGUAACUAUAACGGUCCUAAGGUAGCGAAAUUCCUUGUCGGGUAAGUUCCGACCUGCACGAAUGGCGUAAUGAUGGCCAGGCUGUCUCCACCCGAGACUCAGUGAAAUUGAACUCGCUGUGAAGAUGCAGUGUACCCGCGGCAAGACGGAAAGACCCCGUGAACCUUUACUAUAGCUUGACACUGAACAUUGAGCCUUGAUGUGUAGGAUAGGUGGGAGGCUUUGAAGUGUGGACGCCAGUCUGCAUGGAGCCGGCCUUGAAAUACCACCCUUUAAUGUUUGAUGUUCUAACGUUGGCCCCUGAUCGGGGUUGCGGACAGUGUCUGGUGGGUAGUUUGACUGGGGCGGUCUCCUCCUAAAGAGUAACGGAGGAGCACGAAGGUUGGCUAAUCCUGGUCGGACAUCAGGAGGUUAGUGCAAUGGCAUAAGCCAGCUUGACUGCGAGCGUGACGGCGCGAGCAGGUGCGAAAGCAGGUCAUAGUGAUCCGGUGGUUCUGAAUGGAAGGGCCAUCGCUCAACGGAUAAAAGGUACUCCGGGGAUAACAGGCUGAUACCGCCCAAGAGUUCAUAUCGACGGCGGUGUUUGGCACCUCGAUGUCGGCUCAUCACAUCCUGGGGCUGAAGUAGGUCCCAAGGGUAUGGCUGUUCGCCAUUUAAAGUGGUACGCGAGCUGGGUUUAGAACGUCGUGAGACAGUUCGGUCCCUAUCUGCCGUGGGCGCUGGAGAACUGAGGGGGGCUGCUCCUAGUACGAGAGGACCGGAGUGGACGCAUCACUGGUGUUCGGGUUGUCAUGCCAAUGGCACUGCCCGGUAGCUAAAUGCGGAAGAGAUAAGUGCUGAAAGCAUCUAAGCACGAAACUUGCCCCGAGAUGAGUUCUCCCUGACUCCUUGAGAGUCCUGAAGGAACGUUGAAGACGACGACGUUGAUAGGCCGGGUGUGUAAGCGCAGCGAUGCGUUGAGCUAACCGGUACUAAUGAACCGUGAGGCUUAACCU
rnacentral:rRNA from 1 species